rnacentral:rRNA from 1 species
UACGUAGGGGGCAAGCGUUGUCCGGAAUCAUUGGGCGUAAAGCGCGUGUAGGCGGCCAGAAAAGUCCGCUGUGAAAACUCGAGGCUCAACUUCGAGCUGUCGGUGGAAACUUUCUGGCUAGAGUCCGGAAGAGGAGAAUGGAAUUCCUGGUGUAGCGGUGAAAUGCGCAGAUAUCUGGAGGAACACCGGUGGCGAAGGCGGCAUCCUGGACCGACACUGACGCUGAGGCGCGAAAGCGUGGGUAGCAAACAGG